rnacentral:rRNA from 1 species
GACGAACGCUGGCGGCGUGCUUAACACAUGCAAGUCGAACGGAAAGGCCCUGCUUUUGUGGGGUGCUCGAGUGGCGAACGGGUGAGUAACACGGGAGUAACCUGCCCUUGACUUUGGGAUAACUUCAGGAAACUGGGGCUAAUACCGGAUAGGAGCUCCUGCGGCAUGGGGGGGGUGGGAAAGUUUCGGCGGUUGGGGAUGGACUCGCGGCUUAUCAGCUUGUUGGUGGGGUAGUGGCUUACCAAGGCUUUGACGGGUAGCCGGCCUGAGAGGGUGACCGGCCACAUUGGGACUGAGAUACGGCCCAGACUCCUACGGGAGGCAGCAGUGGGGAAUAUUGCACAAUGGGCGGAAGCCUGAUGCAGCAACGCCGCGUGCGGGAUGACGGCCUUCGGGUUGUAAACCGCUUUCGCCUGUGACGAAGCGUGAGUGACGGUAAUGGGUAAAGAAGCACCGGCUAACUACGUG